GUGUGUGGAGUGCACAGUGGGAGCUCUCGGGAGCUGGCCUCUGGGGAGCCCCAGUGGCAGAUGUCCCUCCCCGUGGUCAAGCACUGGUGAGGCUAGACCCUCGGGAAGAGUCUGGAAAAGACGUGAGUUUCAGGGUAAGGGCGGGUUCAGACCCUGGCCCAGGGCUGCAGGAAGGAGGGUGAAGCACUGAGGCACAGAGCCCGUCAGUUUCCUAGGCCGCUGCGCCACAGAACCACAAGCCCCUGACCUUGCACUCCUGCAGGACACAAGGCCAGCGCCUCGGAGGGCAGGGCCCCUGGGGCUGUGGGCAGCCUGCUCGCCCAGGGCUCGCCCUUCCUCUGUCUUGACAGGGUCUCCGCCUCACCCUCCUCUCCUGCCUCUUCCUCCUCUGUCUCUGUGAUCCCAAGGCCACCAAGAAAUCUCUCCAUGUCGACCUGAGCCCCCUGCAGACCUCCUUGUGCCAUGUGAGGCACAUUCUCCAGCUUUAACAUGGGCCACCACCAGAAUGCCUCCCAGUGACAGUCCUGGCAGGGACCGCCUCCAGUGUUCUGAGCACUUAGGGAUUCUGGCCAUCCUGCUCAUGGUCCAAGUGGUGGCCUUUUACAGAGGCCGAGCUUCAGCCUCCCGACAGCUUCCUCCUGCAGCUGCUGGUGACCAGUGGCCUGGAGAUUGCCUACAGGAGCACGCCCUCACCAGCCUCCACCCGGUGUCUGUCACCCACCAGACUCCAGCUGAGCCCGGGCCACCACCCAGUGCAGCAGACAGAGCCGGACCUCCCACGUGUGCGGUAACAGGCUGCACCAGGCAGUGCCGGGCCACAGGAGACCACUUGUCCCUCUGUUUGGAAAGGUUAGGAAGAUUUCCCAGAGGGGGGGACAUUUAAGCGGAGACUUGAAGGUGAAGAAUGAGGAGGAUUUUUAUCAUGUGCAGGAGGCUGGGGCAGGCGGGGAGGACAGAUCCAGCAGAUGAAAUUUCCAAUGCAAAAGUGCGUGAGAGAGAGUGAGGGGGAGACGGGAACAGAGAGACAAAGAGAGGAGAAAGGAAGGGAGAGAAGACAAAGUGAUUAAAGAGAGAGACAGAGAGAAGAGACAGAGGCAGAAAGAGAACAAAGGCGGAGAAAGGGACAGACAUAGAACCAAAGAGACAGAGCCACAGAGAGCCAGAGACGCCCAGAGACCUGGAGUGCGAGACAGCGACGUGGACAGACGCAGAGACAGAGGAGCGGGAGACAGACGGACGGCAGAGUACCCCAGGGAGAAUGGCAGCCAAGUGCUCAGAGAUGGAAGAAGGCAAGGGGCGAGAGGGCAGCGGAGGCCCCUGCAGAAGUCCUAGGCGGGAGGAGAGCCGGGAGGCAGCCGCACCUGGGCUGGCACGAGCGUCUGAGCAUCCUGCGUGGGGCAGGCAGGGCACUUUGGUGCAGAGUGCCAGUCGACGGAGACCUGUCAAUGCUGCUGUUGCUGCUGACCAGCUGUGCACCCUUGGGGUUGCUUCUUGGCUUCCUGGAGGCUCACCUUCCUCACCUGGUAAUGGGCUAGAGCAGUCAUCUCUAGUCCUCAAGAUUCCAGGAGGGGUGGCUGACCCUGCCCCAGAGCUUUCCAGGUGUAGCAGUGCCCGAGUGUGUGGGGGGGGGCAUCCUGGGUCCUGAAGUCUUCUCUCCCCUCUCAGACCCAGCCAGUGGGCGCUAACCGCAGAUGGCAGGGGAACGUGAAGUGACCACAGAACCCCGAGACCUGCACCUCCAGGAAGCCUGGGGAUUGGCAGCGGAGGAGGAGCCGGCAGAGAAACCAGCCCGUUUCCAGAUGGGCAGAGGCAGCUACCCCGGAAGGGUCCGCUCCUGCCCUCCACUCCCUCUAGUCUCAAGAGAAGAUCACAAUCCAACAGAGGAAAGACGCACGCACGGGAGUCCAUCACCUACACCUUGAACAGCCGGAACACCUGAGCAUAGCAAACCAAGCCAGUCAGCUGUGUCCUCGUGUGCUGCACGGUGGAGCCAUUAAAAAACACACUUAUGAAAUGUUGAUGGCCUGAAAGAUCAGUCAUAACAAAAUGCAGGGCAAAAACCAGUGCCUGCUUUCUGGUUUCUGAACCACGAAUAUGAGUCAACCAUUUAGAAUUAAAAAGAAAUAAAAAUAUGAAUUAAUAAUAAUCAUACAUGUGGCUGUAGGCACAUAUGAGUGUACAUGUGCAUCUGUGUGUGAAAGAAAACACACCAGAAUUUCAUAGAUAUUAUCUCUGGGAGGAAGAAUUUUGGAUGAUUGUUACUUUUUUUACAUUUUUACAUAUUUCCAAGUUUUUAUAGUAAACAUGGGUUCGUUUUUUUAUUCAGAAAAUAACUAUAUGAGUAUACACACACAUAUACACACUAAAAUGUGGACAAGCACACACUAAACACGGUGACUCUGAGGUCGUGCCUUGAGCCCUGUGUGGUGUGGACAGCAGCCUCUGGUGGGUGGACUGCGGACCCAACGAGGUGGUAGCUUUCUGGUCAUCCCAAUCCUGUGGACACAGUUGGCCACGGAACAGUGCAAGCUUCCUCCAUCUGCCCCGAGUUGGAAAGUGCUGUGCCCAAUCCACAGCAGAGUCACAGUGUCCCAACAGCAGGCUGCUGUGGUUGGACUGUGUCCCCCAAAUCAAGGGUGGAAACGGGGUUGGGCAGUGGGGCCUUCAGGGGCCUGCUUGGUGGGUCAAGGCUUCUGUGAAGGAACCCGACAGGGAGUUCCGUUCCCUGCCUUCCGCGGUGGGAGGACACAGCCCUCCUCUCCUCCAGCUCAUGCUGGGCUCCAGGCACCAUCUUGGAUGCAGAGAGCAGCCCUCACCAGAUGCUGAAUCUGCUGGCUCCUCCACCUGGCACUUCCCAGCCUCCAGAGCGGGGAGAAAUACAUUUCUACUCUCCUAAGUCACCCAGUCUGGUGGUCUGCUGCGGUGGUCUGCUGCGGUGGCACAGACCAGACUAAGACAUGGCCAGAAGUGUCGUUGUUGUUUUUUUAAUUUUUAAUUUUCUUUUUUUUUAGUUGUGGGUGGACACAUACCUUUAUUUAUUUGUAUGAGGUGCUGAGGAUUGAACCCAGUGCCUCACACGCACAAGUCUUCGCUCUACCACUGAGCCACAACCAGCCCCCAGAAGAGUUCCUUUUACAAUGACCUAUGUGCCUCCCAGGCCCUGGGGCUGGGGAGGGAGAGGAGGGUCUUGCCAGAGAUGGUAGAGACCGCGCUGCGUGCCACCACUCACAGCCGCCCAGCCCUUUGUCUUCCAGGGGGUUCUGUUCCAGGAAAACGCUCCUGAGAAAUUCCCGCUGGACGGCUCAGCUCUGAAGCGUGUAGAGGGGAGGGAGGAGGCAAGAAGAAGGGCCAUCGUCUGCCCGAUGGUGCCUGGGUGGGGUCCACAGAGCACGAAACCAUCUCCAGGUAAAUUCUCGCGACCCUCAUCCCCCGCUCUCCCUGAAAUUCCGCCUGUUUCAUGACGGAAAUGGACCUCAGAGAAAUGCUGCCUUACAUGAAAAGGGCUCAGUAAAUACACUCCUCAAAAUUUUCAUUCUUAAUAUAUCAGUAGCUUUUCAGUUCAUUAUAGUGUUAUUAGUCAGUCUUCAUAAAAGUGCUAUGCAUCUUUAUUAAAAAUGGAAGUUCACAUCAUUUUAUGUUCCCAUAAAAAUGGGUGGUGGUAGCUUUGAUUAAUUUCUUCACAUACAGUGAACUUUACAGCAAAUUGGACAGUGUAAUUCAAUUCCUAUUUCUGCAGAUUUUUUUGUUGGUAGAAAAUUGAUAUCAUUCAUAUGUAAUCAUAUUGCCUUUGCAAGAGAUAUUUAAGAAAUAAUAUCCUGCAGUAA